UAUAGAACGUACUGCACUAUUUCAUAAUAUUUCAAUCACAGUCACCAAUCAGUAUUAUAAUACUCAUAUUACUUUAAAAAAUCUUCAUAAGUACUAUUAUCGAAUAGUUUCGAAACAGUUUUUAUUUUCAAAAGCUAUAAUCGGAAACUGAGUUUUUUUUAUAUAUAUUAACAUGCAUUUGAAAAAUAUACUGUUUUUCUGCGUGACGUUAUGCUUUUUUCAAUGUCAGGGUGCCCCACCAACUGAAAAACAACUUAUUAUGAAUAUUCAAAUGACCAAGUUCAUAUUGGCCUCCUAUCGUUCUCAACUGAAGCAACACCAAAGUUAAAUAAGUUGGUUAUAGACAUGGUAGCAAGAGAAAUGGGAAAAGUUGAAGAGCUAGACUUUAAUCAAGUAAGAGCUAUAUGUAUGAAAUUAGCCGAGCGACCUGAAGAUUUCGACAGUAUAGAUGUAUUUAAAAGGAGAGCAUCAGAAUUAGCCAAUAGAUUUAAUAAGCAGGAAGUUUUAAUCGUUGUCCGAGCGUUUGCUGCUAUAAAAGAACCGGGAUUAAAUGCAACAAUAGAAACAGAGAUCCAGAAAUAUAAUGAUCGUGAUGUAAAAGAAUAUGAAGAGUUUAAAAAUAUAUUCUUGAAUGUAAAACACAUAUGGAAA